UACGGAGGAUCCAAGCGUUAUCCGGAAUCAUUGGGUUUAAAGGGUCCGUAGGCGGUUUGGUGAGUCAGUGGUGAAAGCCCAUCGCUCAACGGUGGAACGGCCAUUGAUACUGCCAGACUUGAAUUAUUAGGAAGUAACUAGAAUAUGUAGUGUAGCGGUGAAAUGCUUAGAGAUUACAUGGAAUACCAAUUGCGAAGGCAGGUUACUACUAAUGGAUUGACGCUGAUGGACGAAAGCGUGGGUAGCGAACAGG
rnacentral:rRNA from 1 species